GGGAGCGCCACAGCGGGGCAAUAACCGGACGCACCGUCCGUCCGGUAACGGGGCGCCAGAACCCGCUGGGCGGGCGCUCCAGCCGGCUUCUGCACAGCAGCCAGCCCGGCCACGCACCGCUACGGGGACGGGCAGCUGAGCUCACCCCGAGCGGAAAGCCGCGUUUCUCCGGGAUCGUCCCGUUGAGCCGGGGCUGCCCGGCAGCGACAGCCGGCACCAGCGAGUGUCUGGCGGCGAUUUUUCACGCUCGGGUCCAUCAGCGAUGGCUGCUGUUAAAACCCGCUCCUGCAGCAGCUCCACUGCCCUGUUCCAUGAUGUAAAGACAGAGGAGAAAGGAGUCAAGUGGUUACAGCAGUCCCCAGUCCCACCAGCUGGACGGGGUCUCCAUUCCAGUGUCCAGAGGACAGACAGGCUAGAGAUCCCACAAACACUGCGCCCAGGCUCCCCGUUAGCACGUUGAGGAGUAUCAACUUAUUUGGCCUCCACGGAAUGGCUCCUUCGAGUGUUGUGAAACCCCAGUUACGGGAAACAAGAAGCUGUGAAAAAGCUUAUCCCAAGUACACUCAAUACUCUUGUCAGUUCUUAUGUUUUUCAUUAGAGAGAUUUCCAACAGCUGUCUCAAAUUGCAGGCUUUCCAGUAUUAUAAUCCUUCAAUGAGUCUGUAUCAAUUCAACAGCCAUUUUGAGGAAAUAAAUGUUUUCAAUUAAUUUUUUCUAUAAUAAGCCACUACAGCGGCCUCAUAAUACACUGUAGCUUCCAUCUGAGCUGUCUGAAAACAACAACCCUUCUGCCCAAGGAGGUCCUCAGUAUGCUGAUGCCAGCUCCUGCAGAUUUUGACUGGACUGCUCCAACAGGCUUCACUAGGCUUCAAAAGUCUCUGCUGCAUUUGGUGACAUGCAUGUGACAGGAUUUUGUUCACCAGAGGGAGAUCAACUGAAAAAUAUUUGCUGAACAAACAAGCAAAGCAUGGCCAUGCUUACAACUGGCAUACAAACCUUUAAAUAAAGAAUUAGACUAAGACAACUGCUGACCCAUAUCCACCGAUCAGCCCGCAACAGUCUCACAAACGCAGAUAUAUCAAUAAUGUGGUAGUGAUUUAAAGUAGAGUAAGAAAACGCCAACAGCAGAGGACUGUCCCUUCCCAUAGGGAGGGGGAGCUCUAAAAGAAUAUUUGACAAGAGGUAAAGUCAUAAUCAUUGCCUCA